rnacentral:lncRNA from 1 species
AAUCUUGCUCAUGUUCGUUAAUUUCCUCUGAUAGUGGGGAGAACAUAGAGGGAGUUUGAAUUUCCAUAGGUUCAACCUCUUUCUCCGCUAUGUAAGCAUGUCUCAUGGGCUUCCUUGGUUGAAGCUACUCCUGUGCUGGUCUAUUCUCAACUAGCACUUGAUUUAUAGGAUCUUUCUUGGAGUAUGGUUGGGAGAAAGGAGUAACCGGCACUCGCGCCAUUCUAAUCCAAGGGCCAAAAGUACCAUCAUCAUUAUCAGCCUUGGAUGAACAAUCACAACCAUCCAGAGUUACCCCAAUUCAUCCACAUUUGUAUCAAAUAUCGGGCAGCUCUUCAUAGGAGAAUUGCUGCCAUAUUACUUCAUCAUGAAUCUUAAUUCUAGUUCCAAGGCAAACCGGGUGGCAGGCAUCUAAAACCACACAGGCUCUCGCAUAUCCCAUUCUGGUAGAAUUUAAAGUCCAGUCAUCAAGAAACAAGGGAACGCCAGCCUGAGAG